rnacentral:rRNA from 1 species
GUAGGGUGCGAGCGUUAUCCGGAAUCAUUGGGCGUAAAGAGCUCGUAGGCGGUUCAGCAAGUCGGCUGUGAAAUUCCGAGGCUCAACCUCGGAACUGCAGUCGAUACUGUUGUGACUCGAGUCCGGUAGAGGAGAAUGGAAUUCCCGGUGUAGCGGUGAAAUGCGCAGAUAUCGGGAGGAACACCAGUAGCGAAGGCGGUUCUCUGGGCCGGCACUGACGCUGAGGAGCGAAAGCGUGGGGGUAGCAAACAGGAUUAGAUACCCUGGUAGUCCACGCCGUAAACGUUGGAUACUAGGUGUGGCGUUCCGACCAACGGUCGCCGUGCCGAAGCUAACGCAUUAAGUAUCCCCGCCUGGGAGUACGGCCGCAAGGCUA